ACGGAAAACCCUUUGCCUUUUCUCUUCCUUCUCUUUCCCUUGUCUGUCGCUGCUGGUCUCACCUCCUUCGUUCCUCUUCUUUCCUCUCCCUUCGCCGCCUCCACAAGCCCCUCCACAUGGACACUCAUUGGAUUGUUACAGUUUUGUUGCUUCCCAAUCCUUAGCCUUUUUUUUCUGUAUAAAUGCUCACCAGAAGUGCUAAGGAGAGAAAGUAGAAGAAUAAGUAGAGAGAGACAGAGAACAAGGAGAAAGAAUAAAUAGAGAAAGCACACCACAAAUGACAUCUCGUUUCUCUUGGUUUCUCCAAAAAUUCUCUGAUCUAUGUAUAGGACUGUGGGUUGUUGCUUAUGUUUUGAAUGAAAUUCAUGACGAUAUCACAUCACUUCAAGUUGUCUCCAGAUGUUUGCUUUUAUUUACAAUCAUAGGUUUUUCAAUUUGUUGGAACAUAAAUGAAGAGUAGGCGAGACGAGAGGCAUGAUAGAUAACAAGAGAAUGGAGGAGAUCCGUAAGAAAGAAGAUGUCCUGUGAGAGGUAAGGUUGUUACUGGUUGAAGACAUUCAUUCUAUCUUUACCAGCUUCAAAUUUGGGCCCAUCCAUUUUGAUGUUUCUUUUUCUUUAGAAUGUAUAUUUUGAUAUUUCCUUUAAAAAAAAAAUGGUUAUAACAAAUACAACUUAAGUAAGGGUACAAUGUCUUUUUUUUCUGUCUCUAAAGACCAUCUAUUUUGAGGUUGACUUAUGGUAAACAACCUAGAAAUUGUAUGGAAGAGUCUGUUUAUUGGACAAACUUAUUAUUUAGGGAUGUAUGAAUCACUUAUUUAGGAAGGAGA